rnacentral:rRNA from 1 species
CAGUAGCCACGGGAAUACGUAGGUGGCAAGCGUUGUCCGGAAUUAUUGGGCGUAAAGGGCUCGCAGGCGGUUUCUUAAGUCUGAUGUGAAAGCCCCCGGCUCAACCGGGGAGGGUCAUUGGAAACUGGGAAACUUGAGUGCGGAAGAGGAGAGUGGAAUCCCACGUGUAGCGGUGAAAUGCGUAGAGAUGUGGAGGAAUACCAGUGGCGAAGGCGACUCUCUGGUCUGUAACUGACGCUGAGGAGCGAAAGCGUGGGGAGCGAACAGGAUUAGAUACCCCCGUAGUCCCUGUCUCUUAUAC